rnacentral:misc_RNA from 1 species
UAACUAUUAUGUUUUUCUGACGCUGAUUGCAAUUACAAAGGGUUAUAUAGUGUCCUUUUGGCAGGCAAAGCCCACCAAGGAAACGAAUAGUACGCAAAAAACAAGGGUCCAGACAGGGACGUGAGUCCCCCAGACAUUUUUGAUUGGUAAUGAUCCUUCCGCAGGUUCACCUACGGAAA